UACGUAGGGGGCAAGCGUUGUCCGGAAUUAUUGGGCGUAAAGAGCGCGCAGGCGGCUGGGCAAGUCCGAUGUGAAAGCUUCCGGCUUAACUGGAAAAUUGCAUCGGAAACUGCUCGGCUUGAAGGUGGGAGAGGGUAGCGGAAUUCCCGGUGUAGUGGUGAAAUGCGUAGAUAUCGGGAGGAACACCAGUGGCGAAGGCGGCUACCUGGCCCACUCUUGACGCUGAGGCGCGAAAGCUAGGGGAGCAAACGGG
rnacentral:rRNA from 1 species